ensembl:lncRNA
GGGGCUUCCGGCCUUCUUUUCGCUCGCGGCUGUUCUGACUCGUCUGGGUCUCCCUGACUCCGAAACGCUGGCUCUGGGCCGAGCGACUGUCCUGUUAGGUCCGGGAAGAGUCGUUUUCCGCGUGGCGCAGAGGCGGGCCUGAGGUUCGCCACUCGGCACGGGCUUCCCCGCGCCCGGCCUGGGAUGGAGACCGUGGCGCCCGCGGCCCCCUCUUCUCCCGCAGCUCCGCCCGCAGAGCUCGAUGGCGGCGGCCGCGCGGAGGACCCGCCUCAGAGGUCUCCCGUGAGAAGGGCAUUUCCCAGGCAGGACUCCUAGGGCAGAUCCAUCGUUCAUGAAGAGCCACCCCUGUGAAAUGUGUGGCCUCACAGACAAUUGGCACUUGGAUGAGCAGCAGCCAACACAUGACAGGCAGAAACUGCACAGAUUUGUAGAAAUGGAAUUGCUGCAAAAAAGUACUGCAUGUUCAUGCUGGAUAUGACAAGCUUCCUUUUCUACAGUUUGUUCCAGUUUGUACUCAAACCAACAGGAAAUCAUGACCGCAGGUCCUGCAGAGGAGCCAUGGAGCCUGCUGUGCACAACUGUUGAGGGAUCAUCCUCAUUCCAGACACGCUGGACUCACAGGACGAGGGGGCAGGACGCUGCAACCGACUGCUGGGCACGUGCCUCUCAGGACAGCAUCCGCCUGACCCGCCACUGUGGCUGGGAAGGAUGAGCAGGUACAGAACUUCUCACAGUCCUCAGGCCUGUGUCCUGGGUCACUGCAGGCCUCCUCAGUGGACAUCAGCCAAAGACACUGUGGGUCACUGCAGCCUGUCUGGCUCUGGCUCUUCCCCUCAGGACCAGUGCUUUACAGGAGGUGUGCAGGAGAAGGAGGGAGAGCUUAGUCCGGCCUGCAUUUACAUGGCACAGCUGGGAACAGCCUCCGCUGCUCCCCAGGACUUGCUGCCCCUGAGGCGAGAGGGAGGCCCUGACUGGAGAGAGAAGGGUAUGUCAGCAUUAGUGUCACCAAAUCUCAUUUCCAGGAAAAAUAAGGAAUUCCAGGUUUUAAAGCUUCGAGAAGGUAUAAAUGACGUGCAGUGAACAUUAGUGUGGUAGGUUCCGACAUUUACAUAAACUCAUGAAGUCUGGAUCACACAACGAAUCUCUUCAUGACCCCAUGUCUACCUUGCGUUUAUUUUUAAUCACUGAAAGAUGGCUGAUUUCCAGUAUCGUGUUAGUUUUAGGUAUACAGGUGACUGUAUAACUGCAAGGUGAUUCCAUAUUUUUGAUUUUGUUCCAUUGCAGGUUAUUACAAGAUACUGAAUAUAGUUGCUGCGCUGUGCAGCAAACCUUUAUC